GUGGAUUAGAUACCCUGGUAGUCCACGCAGUAAACGAUGAAUACUAGCUGUAUGCGAUAUACUGUAUGUGGCAAAGCGAAAGCGUUAAGUAUUCCACCUGGGGAGUACGUUCGCAAGAAUGAAACUCAAAGGAAUUGACGGGGGCCCGCACAAGCGGAGGAACAUGUGGUUUAAUUCGAUGAUACGCGAGGAACCUUACCCGGGCUUGAAAUGCAGACGACCGAUGGGGAAACUCAUCUUCCAGCAAUGGCGUCUGUGUAGGUGCUGCAUGGUCGUCGACAGCU
rnacentral:rRNA from 1 species